rnacentral:lncRNA from 1 species
AGUAGUUAUCAGGGACUGGAGAGAGGGAAGAAUGAGAAGUGACUACUUCAUGGAUACAAGGUUUUCUCUGGGGGUGAUGAAAAUAUUUUGACAUCUGAUAAAGGUGGUGGUAGUACAGCACUGUGAAUGUACCAAUUGCCACUGAAUUGUGCAUUUUAAAGUGAUUGAUUUUAUGUGGAACAAAUUUCACUUUAAUUAUAAAAAGUGAAUAAACUUUUAGAAGCUAACCUUGGAAGAAGGUAGAGACUGGAAGGGAUCACAAGAAAGGCUUCUGGGAUGUUGGUUGAUUUCUCUAAGAAGUACAUGCUGAAAUGAAGAUAAGAGUACAAAAUAUUUAUCGGAGAGUAGUAACACAGAGGAGACACAGGAUUUGGCAGAAACACUAAACCAUGGUGAAGACCGGCUAAAGUCUCUUUGUCCAAAGGGGAGCUCUAAAGUAAAUAUGAGCCAUUAAGGGAGCCCCACACUGGAUGGAAAUGGCCAAGCCUUUUUACAACCACCUUCUCCUUGAGACACUGCCUGCAAUUCACCCUGGGAAAGCAAAACCUCAACUGUUUCUGCCUCAUUCAUUCUUUGUCAGUGCCGUAAGAAGAUUGAGAUUUCAGCUUGUAACUGUUGAAGCAAAACCUAAAGUGGUUAAUAAUGGGAGUUUGUCACAACUAUCUUAACACAAAUAUAAAAUAUUUGCAUGAACUGUAAUAACCUUUUAUUUAUAAAUUAAAAACUUAUUGAUAAAAUACAGAUUUCAAUAACAUUAGUAAAAAAUCUUUUCACUUUUCUUAAGUAAUUCAGAAUAGAUCAUCUUUCAUUUUAGUUCCUACACUUGAUCCUUAGAAGAAAAAGAAACCUAUUUUUUUUAUAAUGCAAACACUUUAGUUUAACAUAAACAAGAAAAAGGGAAGACUGGCUGAGAAAAAAAAACUCUAAAAACCAUCUAGCAUAUUCAAAAGAUAAUUCAUGCCUUUGAGAUCAUUUAAGCAGUACAUCACCUUUAGUUAUAAAGAGAAAUGUGAAACUAUUUUUACAAUUAAUUACAUCUAUCAGCAGGAAAUAAAAUGUAUUCAAAAUUGACCUGUAUAUGAGUGAUGGUUGUAACAGAGUUAUUGAUUUUUCCUGUUGGGAAAUGCCAUCCAAAACUGGCAUGAUCUUUUCAAGUAAACUCAAAAUCCGAACAAUGUCUUCAAAAGUAGGCAUGUUGUUAACAAUGGUCCCUGCUGUUUUCUAUGAAUGGGCAGUAAUAUUCUCUAUAACAUUAGCCCUUGGAAAUUAAAAUGUCCUUUGUUGAAAACAGAGAAAU